rnacentral:rRNA from 1 species
UUAAUGAGAGUUUGAUCCUGGCUCAGGACGAACGCUGGCGGCGUGCCUAAUACAUGCAAGUAGAACGCUGAUGUUUGGUGUUUACACUAGACUGAUGAGUUGCGAACGGGUGAGUAACGCGUAGGUAACCUGCCUCAUAGCGGGGGAUAACUAUUGGAAACGAUAGCUAAUACCGCAUAAGAGUGAUUAACACAUGUUAGUUAUUUAAAAGGAGCAAUUGCUUCACUGUGAGAUGGACCUGCGUUGUAUUAGCUAGUUGGUGAGGUAAAGGCUCACCAAGGCGACGAUACAUAGCCGACCUGAGAGGGUGAUCGGCCACACUGGGACUGAGACACGGCCCAGACUCCUACGGGAGGCAGCAGUAGGGAAUCUUCGGCAAUGGACGGAAGUCUGACCGAGCAACGCCGCGUGAGUGAAGAAGGUUUUCGGAUCGUAAAGCUCUGUUGUUAGAGAAGAACGUUGGUAGGAGUGGAAAAUCUACCAAGUGACGGUAACUAACCAGAAAGGGACGGCUAACUACGUGCCAGCAGCCGCGGUAAUACGUAGGUCCCGAGCGUUGUCCGGAUUUAUUGGGCGUAAAGCGAGCGCAGGCGGUUCUUUAAGUCUGAAGUUAAAGGCAGUGGCUUAACCAUUGUACGCUUUGGAAACUGGAGGACUUGAGUGCAGAAGGGGAGAGUGGAAUUCCAUGUGUAGCGGUGAAAUGCGUAGAUAUAUGGAGGAACACCGGUGGCGAA